rnacentral:rRNA from 1 species
GACAGAGGCCUCAAGCGUUAGGCGGAAUCACUGGGCUUAAAGCGUGUGUAGGCGGAUCGUUAAGUGUCUUGUGAAAUCCCACGGCUCACCCGUGGAACUGCUGGGCAUACUGGCGAUCUUGGGCCAACUAGGGGCAACUGGAACAGGCGGUGGAGCGGUGAAAUGCGUAGAGAUCGGAAGGAACGUCAAUGGCGAAGGCAGCCACCUGGCAUAAUACUGACGCUGAGGCGCGAAAGCUAGGGGAGCAAACAGG